CUAACACUAGUUUAAAUAGAAUAGCGGUUUUGGGGAUCGUUGGCCCCAUAUAGAGGUGUUUGA
rnacentral:tRNA from 1 species